UCCGCCCUCUGCCUCUGUGCGCUUCCCUCCACCGCUCCCCCCCUUCUAUUCAGGUCUCGCGUGGGAGGCGAUUCCUGCGCUGCUGAGUGCCCGCGCUUUUUCGGGGCCAGUCCCUCCCAACGAGGAAGCGACAGUUUCUAGGGCAGGAGGAUUCUGGAGCUGCUAGGCAUGCCAGAUCUUCCAUGGCCCCUUCCCUCUUGUAACCCAGCACAUCUUCAGAGUUGUCUGCUUUCAUCCAAGACAGCAGAAAAUGAACAAGUCCCAGGUAAGUUAUUUGUCCAUUCCCCACCUUUUUUUUUUUUAAAGUGGACUUUGUGAGAUUUGUAGGAUUCCAUAUGUUAAGAUGGGGAAAAUUAGUAAUUGAUAAAAAUCUAACUUUACAGAAAAAUAUAAAGUAACAUCAGGAGCAAGGCCAGGUUGGCUUAUAGAUACAUACUGAUCAUUAUAUAUCUUAGAGUUUCUAAGGUGAUCCACAAAUACAUCUCUGCUGUUUCUGAUAACCAUG